GAAGUCCAGAAAAAAAGCUACGAGGGUCGAGUAGAGCUGAAGGACAGAGAGACAGGAGACAUGUCUUUGGUUCUGAGGAACGUCACGGCCGAAGACGGAGGAACGUAUGAGUGUUAUGUUCUGAGAGAAAGAAGCCGCAGGAAGAGAGCUGAGCCUCAACCAAUCAGCACCGUCCACCUGCAUGUAGCUCCGCCUCCUCCUCCUCCAGGGAACGAGGAUGGAGACAUGAAGGAUGGAGGGAUCAACAAUGUCAUGGACAUCUUUGGCAACAGUCGAAGUCAUGUUGUUGUUGCUGCCUGUGCUGGGAUGAUUUUAAUUGUUUUAAUUGUUGCUGUUGCAAUAAUUAGCAGGAAGAACAAGAAGAUGUCUUCUCCUCCUGAUGAAGCACAAGCACAUCCGAUGAUCUGACUGAAAGUUUAUGUUCCUGUAAAAGUAUCAAGCAAAGCGCAGCUUCCAUCAACAUUGUCCUUAGUCAAUGAGAACAAGAAAUUAUUAGCCAUAAAAUCUUCUUGUUUAACUAUCAAUGUGGCAAAAAUGAAGCAGAUCAGUGAUCUAGUGAGGAAACAGAUCAGUUUUGUAUCUUGUUCCUCAAUUGCUCUCAUCAGAUCCAGAGCUGGUGGUCUCCACUGCACUGAUCAUGUGACUCCUCUGAGAAUUGCUACCUUGUCGUGGUAGAGGGGCUUCAGGGAUCUCCAGAUCCUGGCUGCUUUGGUUCAGGGUCUCCUCUGGGAACCUUCAGCCAGGGUAAAGUCUCAAUAAGAGCAAUUCAGGCACCUCCAUACACUGAGGUUGGUGCAGUUGAGAUGCUGCAAACAAUAAAUCAGUGCAGAGUUACAUUUAGAAACAUUUAUGUUUCUUUAAGACUCUGAGUUCUUAUUGCUACUAACGAUGAUGUUCUUGUUCUGCAAACAUUCAUCUGCUCAUAGUUUAAAUACAAAGAUUGUUACUAUAAUCCACUACGGAUGAAAUGUAAAUGAACACUAUAGAAAUAGUUAUUUCUAAUCUAAUUCUACAGUUUCACUGCUUGGAAAUAUAAUACUAGGAGGUUCAGUGUCUUUCCAGCAGCUUCUGUAGAUAAUUGAAAUCUCUGAUGUCCUUCAAUUGAUUUACUUUCAUCAAGUUAAUAACUAACAUCAGCUGCAGACUGCAGGCUGUGGCCAUUAUUACUGUCUAGACUGAAGCAGGGAGGAAAACCAGGCCUGGGUAUUUAAUGUAAAAGGUUAAACUUUGUUUUGGAUAAAAGUUGAUGUCUGAUCAGAUAAUAAAUAUAUUUUAUAGA